GCUAUUGUAUUUAUUUCCUGUUGUUAAAACACCUUGAAUAUCUUAUAAAAGCAGAGGGUGAAUAAGAUCCUCCAUACCAAUGAAGUGAUCUGUGUCAUCUAUUUCAGGCAUUUUUAUCAUGGGCAUUUAUUUUCCAGUGUCUCCAUGAGCCGCAGCGAUGUGAAAACCAAACUCAUCCAUUUUUCUUUGAUUUCACAUGGUAGUGAAACAGGAAGGCAGAGCAGUUUUUGUAAAUCUUUGCCAACCAGACUGAUUCAGUCUGAUCACACCUGGUUCAGCCAUCAUUGGCUAAUGUUUAGUUGCUCAGUUGUGUCUGACACUUUGCUACCCUUCAGCCUGGUGGGUUAUAGUCCAUGGGGUCACAAGAGUCCAACACGACUUAGCAACUAAACCACCACCACCACAAUUAAUUAAGUUUUCCUGAUUCAUUUGGCAAGUUUUGGGUGAAAAUCCAUUAUGUGGCUGGGGGCCUCCUGGGCACUAGUACUGCAGUGGUUGAACUGAACAAAGAGCCCCUGUCCACCAAGCUUCCCCAUCCAUUGGAUGAAUAAUUGGUGAAAAUAAGUGUAUGGUGAUGAAUUAGAAAAUGUCCUCUGAAGAAAACACAGAGUGAAAAUAAAAACAUAAUGAGUGAAAUGAGAGGUGUUAACAGGGACACCAGAGAAGGCAAUGGCAACCCACUCCAGUACUCUUGCCUGGAAAAUCCUAUGGAUGGAGGAGCCCGGUAGGCUGCAGUCCAUGUGGUUGUGAAGAGUCGGACAUGACUGAGCGACUUCACUUUCGCUUUUCAGUUUCAUGCAUUGGAGAAGGAAAUGUCAACCCACUCCAGUGUUCUUGCCUGGAGGAUCCUAGGGAUGGGGGAGCCUGAUGGGCUGCUGUCUAUGGGGUCACACAGAGUCGGACACAACUGAAGUGACUUAGCAACAGGGACACCCCAGUAAGUUUAUGGAAUGGGCAUCUGAGGGUGUUUUUCUGAGGAAGCAACAGAAAAGCAGAGACUUGAAGAAGGAUGAGGAGGGUGAAGACAGUAGCCAGGGGGACAGUGGGCCUGAAGGUUCUGGGUUACAAAGCCGCACACCACAGGCAGAGAACAGGACAAAGCCAAAGUGGCUGGAGGGUCCUGGGCUGGGGCAGUGAUAGGGGCC
ensembl:lncRNA